AGUUGAGUAAGCUAAAUAAGCUUUCGGGCCCAUACCCCGAACAUGUUGGUUAAACCCCCUCCUCCACUA
rnacentral:tRNA from 1 species